GAUGAAGAACGUAGCGAAAUGCGAUAAGUAAUGUGAAUUGCAGGAUUCAGUGAAUCAUCGAAUCUUUGAACGCACAUUGCGCCCGCCAGUAUUCUGGCGGGCAUGCCUGUUCGAGCGUCAUUACAACCCUCAGGCCCCCGGGCCUGGCGUUGGGGAUCGGCGGAGCCCCCCGUGGGCACACGCCGUCCCCCAAAUGCAGUGGCGGUCCCGCCGCAGCUUCCAUCGCGUAGUAGCUAACACCUCGCGACUGGAGAGCGGCGCGGCCACGCCGUAAAACACCCAACUCUUCUGAAGUUGACCUCGAAUCAGGUAGGAAUACCCGCUGAACUUAAGCAUAUCAAUAAGCGGAGGA
rnacentral:misc_RNA from 1 species